UAAGGAAUAUUGGACAAUGGACGCAAGUCUGAUCCAGCCAUGCCGCGUGAAGGAUGAAUGCCCUCUGGGUUGUAAACUUCUUUUAUAGGGGAAGAAAGAUACUUUUUUUAAGGUAGUUGACGGUACCCUAUGAAUAAGCACCGGCUAACUCCGUGCCAGCAGCCGCGGUAAUACGGAGGGUGCAAGCGUUAUCCGGAUUUACUGGGUUUAAAGGGUGCGUAGGCGGGCAUGUAAGUCAGUGGUGAAAUACCGGAGCUUAACUUCGGAACUGCCAUUGAUACCAUAUGUCGUGAAUAUUGUGGAGGUAAGCGGAAUAUGUCAUGUAGCGGUGAAAUGCAUAGAUAGGACAUAGAACACCGAUUGCGGAGGCAGCUUGCUACGCAAAUAUUGACGCUGAGGCACG
rnacentral:rRNA from 1 species